GCGCAUCCGAAGCCUGUGCUCCGCGACAGGAGGGGCCACAGCAGUGAGAGGCCCGCGUACCGCAAAAAAAAAAAAAAAGAAUUCUAAGAGAGGUUUUUUGGCUCCACAGAACAAUACAGUAACCAAUUACUAUAUAGUCUAUCUUCUAAUUAUGUAAUUCUAUCUAUAUAUCCUAAGUUAGGACAGUAACUAAUUCCAUUUAAAAUGUCUUCAGAAAUGCUGCCUAGGAUUUUUCCUACCUUACUGUCAUAAUAAGAAAGUAUUAAAGGAGUACUUUCUAAGCUUCAGCACUUAACUUGACUCACCAUAUUCUUAAAGAUAAUUCACUAUGUUUUGUCUUCCAUUUUUGCUAUCAGCCUGUGUUCCUUUGUAGACAGUAUAUUUUUCCCCUCCAGAUUGUUUUUAAAAUCAUUGUCUUCCACACUCUGUAGUUUCAUUACUAUGAGUCUAGAGUUUAAGAAUCAAUUUCUUAAAAAAAAAAAGAAUUUCUUUUUCUUUACCUUGUUUGUAAUUUGAUACUCUUCCUACAUCUGAGGAUACUCAUGUUUCCUUAAUUUUGUCUGGCUUGAUCAUUUAAACUCGUGACUAUGAAUUAAGUUAAACAUACAACAUGGGGUGCUUGACUACCCAAGAAAUCAUCAAGUAUCACACAGUAGGUUUAUCAAUCCCCAAGAAAGAAAACUCAUCUACCUUAAAAUCUAGUUUUUUGGUCCUUCAAAACAUCCUGAAUUGUGAUAUAUCAGUUUGAAAUGAUCAGAACAAUAAUAUGAAGGCAAAUAAAUGAGUGGGUUUGUCUUGAGAGGCAGACGACACUGAGUGGAGUAGUAAAACAGAAAAGACGAAAGCUCGGGAGGCAGGCAUUUCUCCAAACAUUUACUAGUUACGCGGUCGUGGAAAAGUUAUCUAAUGUCUCUGAGUUUAAUUUCUUCAUCCUAAGAAUGGGAAUGACAGAUUCUACCACUUGGAGUUGUUGUUAGGAUUGAGGAAAACAUACGUCAAAUCUCAUCUGACUAUAGAUUUAAGGGUAAGAACUAUGUUUUGCUCGCCACUUGUACCAGUUAUCAAUUUCUUGCCCUUUCAAUACAUGCUCUGUGAUAAUGGGCAGAAUUCUUUUAUGUACUCCCCCGUUUACAGUAAGCGGGCUAUUCGAAUUUCUCUGUAUAAUGGAAGGACACUGCAGGAGGAAAGGGCUUCUCUUGCUGGUUGCAGCUGCUGUAGAGCCCAUCAGCAGGACAUCUGGUGGUGGUCUGUCCCAGCCACGAGGCCCAGAAUAUAGAUCUUCAGCGACCUCACGUUCCCAGUGUGGCUGGGUGAGAGAUACAAAAGACUCAAAUUGAAAUUUUGACCUAAUAAAAAACAACAACUUCAUUACUGCUGCGGCAAAGUCCCUUCUUUUGACUAGGAAGAAUAUGUUUUACCAUAAAGGAGUUUUCCUAAUGUGAACGCUGCAGUAAUCCUGUGUUUCAUCAAAGGCAUAGCAACUACGUAUUCUUCAGCAGUGCUACUGAAUCCAACUAGAGUGGUUCCUUAAGGGCAGAAAAAUAAUUGUACCCAGGAAAAAGCUCAUUUGUAAAUGUUACUAUAUUAUCAUGAUAAUAAAUGUUCUUAUU